CCGUUAUAGUUUCCCCAUGCUUUCAGCGCAUGGCCAUGAGAUUUUUACAUGUGCAUAAGUAUUUAGCCAAUACACAUUUUGCUGACUUCUUUAACCAUUUAUAUUGUUUAAAUUAGUAAUAUCCAAUGCAGUGCACACUUUUUUGUCUUUUUUCCAACGGAAUAUUUUGGUUGUCUGUAGCGUUGGAAGCAUUUUAUAUGAUAAAAAUAGCAAGAAAAAAUUAAAAAGUGUCAACGGUGUGCUGGUUCUAAAUUAAGAAGAUAGAACAAAGAGAAAGACAUUAAUGUUACCUAAGAAACACAUUUAACAUCCGAAGAAGCAAUGCUGUCCUCACUUGAUGUUUCUCUUCUCAACCCAGCAAUGGAGAGCAGGGCUUGCAAAGCCGUACAGAGCCUACGUGCUCUUUCCUGCAAGUGGGAGAAAACUAAUCAAUGGCACACAGGGCCAGGUGUGGCCCUGUGAGGCAAAGGAUAAUGUCACCUCAGGACCAAGGUGGAAACUUACAGCUGAAUCCAGGGCUUACUAAGUAGGGAAGUCAGUUUACAUAUUUCAGUUUUCCUCUGAUGUUUUUGAGGUACUGUGUAUUUGCAGAAGUUUAAGCAGAAGGGUUUUGUUUCUAUUGUAAGUUAGGUUCUAAAAGUGUAUAAUCUGAUACUCUAGCCCAACUGAAAUAUUAUAUCUUGGGCGUUACAGCCUUUGUCUUUUUCUUUAGUCACCUUAAUACCCAGUCCUAUGCUGUAUCUCUGAUAGCCUAUAUAAAUGACAUAUAGGAAUAUUAUUUUCCAUAUGAUCUGUUGUAUGGUGUAUAUGCUAUGUGUUCAUUUCGUGUGCAAGUUCAGAGUGUAAUAGAUUUACCCAGAGAAGGUGUUUCUAUACAAUGCCCCUACCUAUUUGAAAUUACAUGCUUGCCCAACACACUGUGAAAUAGUUACCAAAAUUUGUACAAAUGCAGCAUCUUCAUUCUUUCUGAGAAGACAAGAUGGUUUUCUUUACAUGAACAAAUGAACAAAAGAGAUCCUAGAUCCAUAACGUAGCUAAGGCAUCUAAGAGUUUGCUGUUGAUAAUCUUGCUGACCAAAAACUACUGGAGAGUAACACAGGUUAUAUGCCAUCACAAAUACAAUGCUCAUGAAGAACUGAUUUGUAGAGUCAAUGAACCUGUGUCCAGAAUUUUAAUAGGCUCUCUAUUGGAAGGAGAAAGAAUUUCAAGUUAACAGUAUCUAACUUUAUCAUAGUUGAUGUUAGUAAAUUUUAAAAAAUGAUUUUAUAUGUAUGACAAAAAUCUUUGUAAAAUGCGCAAGUGCAAUAAUUUAAAGAGGUCUUAACUUUGCAUUUAUAAAUUAUAAAUAUUGUACAUGUGUGUAAUUUUUUCAUGUAUUCAUUUGCAGUCUUUGUAUUUAAAAAACAUUUACUGUUAUGUUUGUAUAAUAGAACAGUAAUCAUUUAUUAUAAUCUAGGCAAGUUGUAAAUAAAUUCAUAAUUCAAACAGCCAGU
rnacentral:lncRNA from 1 species